rnacentral:misc_RNA from 1 species
GACGAACCGUCCAAACGUUACUCGGAAUUACUGGGCUUAAAGGGUGCGUAGGCUGCGCAGAAAGUUGGGUGUGAAAGCCCUCGGCUCAACCGGGGAAUUGCAUUCAAAACUACUGUGCUCGAGGGAGACAGAGGUAAGCGGAACUCAAGGUGGAGCGGUGAAAUGCGUUGAUAUCUUGAGGAACACCGGUGGCGAAGGCGGCUUACUGGGUCUCUUCUGACGCUGAGGCACGAAAGCUAAGGUAGCAAACGGG